GGGUUACUCUUCUUGUUCUUUUUCUAACUUCUUGAGUUCAUAUUAAGUUAGUUAGCUUUUAGUCUUUCUAAGUCAAUUACUGAAUGUUUUGAACUUUUCACUUUGUGUUACUUUAUAUUUUUUAGGCUAUUUAUUAAACUAAUCCACGUUCUGAACUGCUAUUGCUACUGGAAACCAGUCCCGAUCCAGACCCCAAAAGAGGAUUCUUGGAUCUUGCACAAGAAAGAAAGUAGAGGGACCCUUAGUCAUUACCUUCAAGGAACCUAAAUCCUGGUGUCUUUAUGGUUAUGGGUGGCAUAUAAUAUACAGACACAGUGAAGGAGUGAGAUGUGAAGGUGCUCUGUCAUUGCCUCAGUCAAGGCUUUCAUGGUACACUGGAAGAAAGAGAAGUGUGAACAAAUUGCAUGAUACUUGAGGUCAUGCUGUGUACCUGUAUUGAACAAGAAUAAGGGAAGAAAGCUGGGAACCUGGAUCUCCCAUAUACUGGAAGUUUUGUAAAAACCUUGAGGGUCCCUUCCACUACAUAUGGGGAUUAUGGGAACUGCAAUUCAAGAUGAGAUUUGAGUGAGGACGUAGCCAAACCACAUGGUUUUAGAACAUUGACUGAGAGAGAAGACAACCCACUUUGCCAUAUAUGCCCAUGGUCUUACCAAGGCUAGAGUACAGUGGCACAGUCAUAGCUCACUGCAGCCUCAAACUCCCAGGCUCAGGCAAUCGAUCCGAUCCUCCCACCUCAUCCAGCCUCCCAAGUAGCUGAGACUACAGGAAGAUCUGGCAAGAGUUAGCAUGAAGUUCUACAUUGUGACAAUCCAUGAGAGCUAAAGACUGGCUGUCUCUUGGGACAAAUAGGCUUUCUUGAGUCUGGAUGUCCGCUCUGCUUGUCUUACCGCAUGAGAGAGUGCAGAUGUUCCUGAAAGCAUCUUUGCAUGGAUUUGCUUGAAGCGAGAUGCGAGAGAAGGGGCAAAGCUCGAAGGGAGCUGCUAGAGAUAGAGGAAAGCAGCUGGACAGGGCUUUCCUGAUGACUGAAAUCUUAUUGUGGAUAAUGGAGAUCAGGUCCUCUGGUGGUGGAUCUAAUGGAAGGAUCCUAGGUCUCUGAAUCACCACGUGGAAGAAAAUCAGUCACCACCCCUAGCUGGAACACCAACAUUUCAAAUAAGUGAAAAAUAAUCUCUUAUUAUGUCAAGACACUGCAAUUUUGGGGUUUGUCUUAGCGUUAGUGUCACCUACAUUUAUGCAAUAGCUGAGUAACAUUUUAGAAGAAGAGGAUGUUUGUAGCCAUUUUGGACUAAAAGAAAUGUCAAAGAUACUUUUUAUUUUCCUAAUUUUUAAUUUCUAGGUUUAUUCUUAAAAGAGUAAGAUCUUUUUUUGAAAAAUCAAUACUAUUAUUUUGACUUUUGGAUGUAGAAACAGGUCUCUACUUAACCACUAAAAAGAGCCAAGUGAGAGGAAUUUGUGGAUAAAGACAUUUAAAGGCAGUAUGAAAUCUCUAAUCACACCAAACCAACACUCAUCACCACGACAUUCUGUCAGUGCCUCCAGGGAUUAAGAACAUAUGAAUGUCUUUCUCUGAAACAUGAUUGUGACAUUGGACUUAGCUAUUUGGGUUUUCAUGAAACCCAUUGUCAGGUUAAAUAAUGAUAGAGUAGUAGAUGUUCUGCAAAUUGCUUUUGUUAUAAAACUUGAAAAAAAGUAUAUUUAUUUUUUAUGCCUUGCCUUUGAGUGCAUUAUUAUUUAUCUUUGUGCAGAGUAGAUUAAGUAGGUCCAUUGAGUAAGAAAGCAUUAAUUUGGUAGAUUCCCUGUGUUAAGGUGCUAAAGAUUUUUUAUGGAAUAAGGGUGUGAGUCUUAUCUCCUGGUCAAGGAGUAGAAACAGGUAGAAAAUAUUUAUAUUUCAGCCCUGCUUCUCCUUUGUCAUAUCCUUCACCAUAAGGAUCUACUUUCACUUCUGCCUUGGUUUUAAACAGCAGCCAGUAUAUGAAGGUCUAGCUAACUACACUAUCUCCCUAGGAGAGUUGGUACAAUGUUGUUUCCAAAAAUUAGACAAAGCAUGUUUAAUGGCUCCCUUUCACUAAGUAAAUAAAUAAAAGCAAGAAAGGGAGGAAGCAAGCUGGCUAAAGAAGAAAUGAACUAGACAUCUAUAUGUUUCAUUUUGUUAGUGAUCAAGCUAGUUUUUCAUGAUUAUUACUUUGAUACGUACAAAAUAUAUCACAACUAUUUUCCUAAGCAAUAUGAAGAGACAAAGUUAUUAUAAAAACUAAUGGAUAUAAAAAUACAUAUUGAAAUGUAUAUUUAUCUUAUGCACACCUCGAUGAAUUUUUCACAAACUGAACAGAUCUCUGAAAUUGACAACCAUAUAAAACAAACAGACAAAACAAACAAGCAAACAAACAUAACCAACACCCUAGAAACCCUCCUAUGCUCCUUUCUAAAGAUUAGUCAUUAUUUUGAUUUCUAACAGUAUAGCUCAAUUUUAUAAAUUAAUUAAGCAAAUUACUCUUUGUGUAAUUUACCUGAAUACAUUAGGUAUUCUUUUGUGCCUGACAUUUUUUGUUGAAUAUUUUGUUUGCAAGAUUUAUCCUAUUGUUGCAUAUGCUUGUAGACUGUUCAUUCUCACAGAUGUAUUAUAAAAUCUAUUGAGUAAAUAUGGCACGGUUUAUUUAUACACUCUACUGUUGGUAGACAUCUUGAUAGUUUCCAGUUUUGUUUGGAGCUAUUACAAAAGUGCUGCUAUAAACAUUCCAGUUAAGUCUUUUGGUAAACUCAAAUAUGUAUUUUUGUUGAAUAUAUAUGUAUGUAUACCUAAAGAAAGAUUCGUUGAUACUGCCAGUUUUCCAACAUGGUUGUAUCAAUCCACAGCACUACCAGUUGUGCAUAAAGAUUUGAGUUGCCUUGUAUCUUUGCCAGCACUUGGAAUUUUUUGUUUUUAUUGUUUUAGCCAGACUAGAGGUUGUUUAGUAUUUCACUGUGGUUUAAUUUGCAUUUCCUUGAUGGCUAAUGAACUUAAGAAUAUGGAAAUAUGUUUACUGGCCAUUUGAAUGUCUUUCUUUAUGAAGUACCUGUUCAAGUAUUUUACCUAUUCCUCUAUUGAGUUGCCUGCAUUUUUGCUAUUGAUUUGCAGGAGUUCUUUAUAUGUGCUAGAUAAGAGUGUUUUUGGUACUCUAUAUGUGACAUAUAUAUAUAAUUUCCCACUUUGUAGUUUGCCCUUUUAUUCUUUUAAUGUCUUUUGAUGAAUGGAUGUUUUUAGUUUAAUUAGGCAAAGCUAUAAGGUAAGAACAAUGUUAGAUUAAGCUUUAAAAGGUGAUCCAGUUCCAUGAACAGAAAGAUUGGGAUUCCCAGCACUAUUGAGCUGUUUGAAUCAAACUCCUAGAAGCCUUAAUAUAUUUUUUCAACUUUCCCUUUGUAAUGGUAGUGUUGGAUAAACAAUAGUUACCCUUAGAGUGUCACAGAAAUUACCAUCUGUUGAUUGAAACAAUGAGAAAAUAGUACCAAAAUGGUUAGAACAAUAAGAGUACUGUAUAAUAUCCAUGAAAAAUUGACACCAUCAGUGUUCUGAAAAUAAUAAAUCAGAAAAUCGAUGUUCAGUUUUUAACAGCACAGUGAGGAUGGCAGUGAAAGGUAUUAUUUUAAGAAUUUUCUCAGGCCCUGAGUUGUAAGAGUCUAUAAUCAGUGAUAUUUUUAUUUAAAGAAAAUCAGGGAAUGAGAUAGUAUUAUUUUAAUAUCUAAUAUUUAAUGCUAGAAUUAAAAAUCCAGUGUAAGAUUUAUGUUGGAAAAAGCAAAUAAGCAAACAAAGUAAAUUACAGCUCUCUGUGUAAUAACAUGAAUGAAUGGAGAUUCCUCAGCAAAUUGAAUUUACUAUGUGAAAUCUUGUGAAUAAGGCAUAUUUAAAAAAAUCUUGGCUCUAAAGUGAUUUGGUGAAAUGAUUAUUUUCCUCAUAAGACAAAAUAAAUUUCUGUCAUAUUAUUAAACAUUUCACAACCUCAAAGUGCUGUUCUAUGGUAGACCAGCUAGAAGUAAAGAUUAAAGCAGACUGUAUUUGUGGUCUGGUCAGAGUUUAAGCAGAGGACACAGUUUCUGGAAGCUUUUCCUUCAGCCUGGAUGUCAAGGGUCCUUUUGCUGCUUAGCACCUCCAGCAGCCUCCACCCAGGUUCAUCGUCUAGCUGUGUUGUCUCCACUGUUUCCUGGAGAAAGGUCCAAUUACCCGAAAUACAUUUGUGCCCUUUUUAUGUUUUCAUCAUAGUUAAUUAUAGAAAAACUUGGUUAUACGCAAAGUCCUACUAAAACAAAAGUAUCAUAGGAAAUAUUUCUAAGAAUCAUGCAAAAUCAUGAUUUUUCAUUAAGAAAUUCUAAAUUAAGAACCAUGUAAAACUGAGAGAUCGAAAUGUUACUCUGUCAGACACUGAAGAAUUUAAGAACCAUUAAUUGUUUGUAUACUAGCUCCUCGAAGGUAGGUCUGUUUUUAUUCAUCUUUAUGGCCUUCGUUGUCCCUGACAUAUUGCUGCACGUAGAGUAUAUGCACAGUGUAUACUUGUGGACUAAGUGAAUGCCAACUUUAGCUUUUGAAAAUGUAAUAUAUGAGUUUAACAGAUGUUGUCUCUUCACUUUCUAAGCACUUGGAACUUUGAAAAUGGCUCUUUCAAUAGUAAAGUUUUUUUCUCUAGAUAUGUUCUUAAAUAAAAAGUGAUGUAAAGAAAGGAAAACAAAAUUAAACCAUUAAAAUGUUUUAAAUUACUAAAACUGACUCCAGGAAUGUGUAAAGAGAUAUUGACUACCUAACAUAAUUUUUUAUGGGUUAAAUUUUCUCUAAAUGUGUUCUAUUUUAUUUUGAACUACAAAUAUUUUAAAAGUAUAAAUUGUAAGCAACUGGAAAAUUGGUUUUAGGCACAUGUGAUAUACAAUUUCACAAAUGUUCAGGAUCCUGGUGUUAUUUCUAUGACUAUGAAAUUUCAUAAACAAACUAUAUAGCC
rnacentral:antisense_RNA from 1 species